GAUACAUGUAAGGGAAUGGGUGCUUUGCGCUUAAUAGGGAAGUCCGGUGUAAUACCGGCGCGGUCCCGCCACUGUAAUGGGGAUGCUGCUUAAUACAUGCCACUGGGAAACUGGGAAGGCUAAGUACGCGAAGAACCAGAGUCAGGAGACCUGCCUGUUCUAACACAUGCCGC
rnacentral:ncRNA from 19 species